rnacentral:sRNA from 2 species
AAUGCAUGACUUGAAUGGUCUGGCGCCCUCAUUUGUCCGCUCGGAUAGUUAUUAUGGCGCUGUUCCCUGUGGGUGGCACUAGAAUAUCCUUUCCCGCUAACGCCGCCGUUACACUACUGCGACCCAAGUGGAUAUUAUGAACUUGUGAAUUGAGGAGAUCCCUUGAUCCUGGACCUGGCUGGCUUCAGAACAGGGGGGCAGUUAGAGAAGGAAUCUUGUGUCUGCUCAGCUAUUUGUUUCAUCAUUCGAGUCGAAAAACAAGAAUAAGAACUGGAAAGCAGCCCGUCCUUGAACUGUACUUUGCAAUAACUAUAACAGCUUGUGGCGGAAAUUUGAUGUGCCAAGUACAGAAUCCUUCUGGUGCACCAGGAUUUUGGCCUUGGAGGUCGAUCCUGGGCUCUUCGGAUUGUAUCUCCUCAAGAGGCAACUGAA